AGUGAGGCAAUGCCUCGCCCUGCUUCGGCUCACACACGUUGCGCGCACUCACUGACCUGCGCCCACUGUCUGGCACUCCCUAGUGAGAUGAACCCGGUACCUCAGAUGGAAAUGCAGAAAUCACCCGUCGUCUUCAUCGCUCACGCUGGGAGCUGUAGAGCGGAGCUGUUCCUAUUCGGACAUCUUGACUCCUCCCAAUAUUUAUUCUUUCUAUCCAGUGUGAAUCACCAUCAGUGUGUUCUUCCAAUCAGAAUGCCCUAGAGAAGAAAUAUUGAGUUCAACCAAAGGAUACUGUCUGAAACCAUCCAGAACUGACCCUCUAAUUGCUCUGAGGGAAGCAGAAUGACUCACAGAGGAGAGAUCGCAGGCUGCACGGGCCAUUGGCCUGGGAGGGGUUAAGCAACUUUAUCCGAUCUUCAGCUAUUUUACUUAACAAUUAAUGACCUACAGUCUGGACAAGUUAAAAGCUAGAAGUGAAGCCAGGACUCCUUGAGACUCCAGCUGGCAUUAAGUGACAAGAAAUAAUUCAGAGGCCAGACAAAGCUGUUAUUAUGAGCCAUUGGCGAGGAAGAAAAUGAAAUUUUUAAACGGGGGAAAAAUGAUGAAGAAUACAAGGUAGAACUCAGCAGCAAUGUUAUGUUGUUUUUUCAGCAAAUUAAA
rnacentral:lncRNA from 1 species